rnacentral:tmRNA from 1 species
GCCCUUGGCUUAAUCUCCGAAAGAGCCUAUAUUGAAGGGGUCGGGCAACCGACUAUGACGAUAAACGCUUAGUGGAAUAAGCGUUGCGGACCCGGGGGCGGUACCCGGCGCCUCCACCAUAAGCCCAUCUGGCGGUGAAUUGGGUGGGCUUGUGAUGGGGGCGAAAUAGGAUCGACGCGCGUAGUAAAGACUUUUGCUUUCGUCCGGCAUGGUACCCACCGUUAUCGGGCCACUUUGAGAAAUGCCAACGAUAAUGAGGCAUUUGCUGUUGCCGCUUAAUAGGCUGUAACAACGGGGUUCGGGAGGCACCUGGCAACAGAAGCCUCCCACU